GCUCAGUAGGUGAGAGGGAGGUCGGCCUCCCUCAGCUCUGCUUCGGCUUCAUGGAACCAAGGCUUCAAGCGAUGACAUGGACUCCUGGUGGGCCUCUUCUCCAUGCAUGGAACUAGAGACCCCCUAAAGCCGGAGAAAUCACAGACUGCGCUGGAAGUGGAGAGACUUGAGGGGGAAGAGUUUUGCCUCCUGCAGCACCCAAGGUUGGACCCAGAUGGAUACCUAACCGAAGUUAACUCAAGAAGAACUAGACAACCUGAAUAGCCCCCUCCCCUGCCACCGCAUCUCUUUUUAGGGCUGAACCU